AUUUUCUUUAUAACUUGGUGCGCCGGUUUUCCAGUAUUCAGUUACAAGAAGGGUUUCAAAAUGAAACUGUUUGUGUUUGUUCUGUCUAUAUUCGUCGUCAUGGCUGCAGUGCUUUCACAGCCACCCCCUGUGGGACGCCAGGGCAAUUAUGGCUGUGGGCAUGACUUUUGCCCUCCCCCCAUAAAUCCUGUUUAUUUAAAACUUGCUGCGCAACAACCAGGCAGUGGUAUCUGGUCUACCGUUGUGGUGAAUGAAGAAAAAAACCAAUAAAACGAACAGUAUGAAACAUCAGAGAGCUAAGCUCAAUCAAUGGCACACAUUUCCAGGGACGAUUGAAAAAAAACCUUUUGUUGGA